rnacentral:rRNA from 1 species
GAUGAACGCUAGCGGCAGGCUUAAUACAUGCAAGACGAGGGACAGCACAGGUAGCAAUACUGGUGGUAACCGGCAAACGGGUGCGGAACACGUACACAACCUUCCUUUAAGUGGGGGAUAGCCCAGAGAAAUUUGGAUUAAUACCCCGUAAUAUAGUUGAAUGGCAUCAUUUGAUUAUUAUAGCUACGGCGCUUAAUGAUGGGUGUGCGGCUGAUUAGAUAGUUGGCGGGAUAACGGCCCACCAAGUCUACGAUCAGUAGCUGAUGUGAGAGCAUGAUUAGCCACACGGGAACUGAGACACGGGCCCGACUCCUACGGGAGGCAGCAGUAAGGAAUAUUGGUCAAUGGACGCAAGUCUGAACCAGCCAUGCCGCGUGAAGGAUUAAGGUCCUCUGGAUUGUAAACUUCUUUUAUUUGGGACGAAAAAGGGCCUUUCUAGGUCAACUGACGGUACCAGAUGAAUAAGCACCGGCUAACUCCGUGCCAGCCGCCGCCGUAAAAC